rnacentral:tRNA from 1 species
CUAGCCGUAGCGCACGGGAAUGCCGAGUACUUGCUGUGUACGCGAGUGCCAAUAACUCGGGUUGUGCUGCCCGGCGGCUCCG